GCCUGGUUGUCUCAGUUGGUAGAGUGUGUGACUUUCGAUCUUGGGGUUAUAGGUUUGAGCCCUACAUUGGGUG
rnacentral:tRNA from 1 species